GACGAACGCCGGCGGCGUGCCUAAUACAUGCAAGUCGAGCGAGCUUGCCUAGAUGAUUUUAGUGCUUGCACUAAAUGGAACUAGAUACAAGCGAGCGGCGGACGGGUGAGUAACACGUGGGUAACCUGCCCAAGAGACUGGGAUAACACCUGGAAACAGAUGCUAAUACCGGAUAACAACACUAGACGCAUGUCUAGAGUUUGAAAGAUGGUUCUGCUAUCACUCUUGGAUGGACCUGCGGUGCAUUAGCUAGUUGGUAAGGUAACGGCUUACCAAGGCAAUGAUGCAUAGCCGAGUUGAGAGACUGAUCGGCCACAUUGGGACUGAGACACGGCCCAAACUCCUACGGGAGCAGCAGUAGGAAUCUCCACAA
rnacentral:rRNA from 1 species